CUAGUUUUAAAUAUUAGCCAGACACAGAGAAAGGUUGGACUGUAAGGCCUGGGUGCACAGUCUUGAUGGAGCAAGUUAAUUGAUUAUGUGCAUUUCACUAAUCUUUUGUCUGAGGCGGGGAAACUUCUUCACUGCCUUCAUAAUUUUCUUGUGCUCGUUGGCCAGUUCGCUGAGGGUUGUUCAUAUGAUGUGCUGCCGGGCCUGUAUAUGGCUGUCCAUGCACAUGGUUAUUCUGUUGAUACUGGGAACCAGGUGAAUGGGGAUACAGUGGUGCAUCUUCAGGUGGAGAAGACUCAUGUUCAUCUGGAGCAUCAGGAUCAUCCGGUUCCUCCUCUGGGCAGAG
rnacentral:lncRNA from 1 species